rnacentral:lncRNA from 1 species
UAUUUUAUAUCUCCAUCUCCAACUGUUACUUUUGCAUUCCUGUAACGGUAAUGCUUCACAGCUGGCGUCCGACGUGAGCAAAAGUUUCGGACGGUGCGCUUGCCACGUGCCCGCACCGUCACCACAUAUUAUCUCCUUGGCUCCGUGCCAUUCUAUCCUUUUGCUUGAUUUUUUUUCUCUGGUCUCUACACCCAUCUCCCCCAACCUUCUAGCUCCUUCAGAUUCACGCCUUUCCCCGUGCCGCACCCUCCUCGCCGGCAGCUCUCUCCUCCGCCUUUCUCCUACUAUGCCCGAUUACCUCCUCACGUUACCCUCAUCCUGAA